GGAUCCUCUCCACAACUUUUUCUCCCCACAUCUAACCCAUCUUUUCACCACAGCAUGACAGCACAUUAAUGAAUACAACCAACGGCCAAGAUUAGAUUUCAGCUCCAGCGUUAACAAAACUACGUCGUUUCUUUUACUUCCCCUAACGCAGCUAACGUCUUCUCCUUUCUCUCCGUUUGUUCUCUUUAACCGUUCAACGCCAUCAAAUUCGGAAGAAAAAAUAACCCACCAUCGUUGAUUCUGUAUCCCCAAACAUGGAGAAGAAACACAACCCCUGCUCCCAAUCCGUCCGGUGAUUUUGGUUCGAUAAGUCCGGCGACUCCGGUGCAAUCAUUCCGGCAACUCCGGUGCAAUCAUGCGGUCCAUUCUGGAUCAUGAUUUUGAUCUUCAUCCCAAUUAUUGGUUCCUAAAAAGUACGGGAAAAUUCCCAAAAUUUAGAUAUGGGGGUUUGAGUGCUGCAAUUUAUACUGAGAUUUUUGACGCCUUUCUUUAAGCUUUAACAUACCAAGUGAAGAAAAUGCUUUCAGGGGUCUACACAUCACCAAGAUCAUGAGCUGCUAUUCAAAAACAAGGAGAGGGAUUUGAAAGCAUUCCUUGGCAUUUUCAAAGUAAAGGACUGAUCAAGCAUUGUGUCGGUUGAUACUCAAUUAGCCUGAAUAAGAGAUAUUUGUGUAGUGCUUUUGUUUUGUAUAGUGUAGUGUUUUUUUUUUCUUUUUUUUUUUUUUUUUUGUCUUUGAUAAGCUUCAAGGCUAUUCCCUUGGCUUGACUGUUUCUUGGAAGGAUUUCAUAAAUGAAAGAAUGACUUUUCA